rnacentral:tRNA from 1 species
GUGUCUGUGGUGUAGCGGUUAUCACGUCCACUUUACACGCGGAAGGUCUCAGGUUCGAUUCCUGACAGACGCA